UCCUUGAUGGCUGAAUGGCUAGGCGACUGAUUGCAAACCAGUACCAUGCGAGUUCGAAUCUCGUUCAAGGCUCCA
rnacentral:tRNA from 1 species